CGGGAUGUAGCGCAGCCUGGUAGCGCGUUCGCUUGGGGUGCGAAAGGUCGUGAGUUCGAAUCUCGCCAUCCCGA
rnacentral:tRNA from 1 species